rnacentral:rRNA from 1 species
UUGAACGCUGGCGGCAUGCUUUACACAUGCAAGUCGGACGGCAGCACAGAGAACCUUGCUUCUUGGGUGGCGAGUGGCGAACGGGUGAGUAACAUAUCGGAACGUACCGAGCAGUGGGGGAUAACUAAUCGAAAGAUUAGCUAAUACCGCAUAUUUUCUGAGGAAGAAAGCAGGGGACCAUUUGGCCUUGCGCUGUUUGAGCGGCCGAUAUUUGAUUAGCUAGUUGGUGGGGUAGAGGCCUACCAAGGCGACGAUCAGUAGCGGGUCUGAGAGGAUGAUCCGCCACACUGGGACUGAGACACGGCCCAGACUCCUACGGGAGGCAGCAGUGGGGAAUUUUGGACAAUGGGCGCAAGCCUGAUCCAGCCAUGCCGCGUGUCUGAAGAAGGCCUUCGGGUUGUAAAGGACUUUUGUCAGGGAAGAAAAGGGCGGGGUUAAUACCCCUGUCUGAUGACGGUACCUGAAGAAUAAGCACCGGCUAACUACGUGCCAGCAGCCGCGGUAAUACGUAGGGUGCGAGCGUUAAUCGGAAUUACUGGGCGUAAAGCGGGCGCAGACGGUUACUUAAGCAGGAUGUGAAAUCCCCGGGCUCAACCUGGGAACUGCGUUCUGAACUGGGUGACUAGAGUGUAUCAGAGGGAGGUAGAAUUCCACGUGUAGCAGUGAAAUGCGUAGAGAUGUGGAGGAAUACCGAUGGCGAAGGCAGCCUCCUGGGAUAACACUGACGUUCAUGCCCGAAAGCGUGGGUAGCAAACAGGAUUAGAUACCCUGGUAGUCCACGCCCUAAACGAUGUCGAUUAGCUGUUGGGCAGCAUGACUGCUUAGUAGCGAAGCUAACGCGUGAAAUCGACCGCCUGGG